ensembl:lncRNA
AACCAAGAGAAACACAAUGGUUCAUCUACAGAUGCAUUAAUUGGAAAAACUUGGGGCCUGUUAGAAGUAAUGGGAAAUGAUGUAACUAGGUUAUGUGUGGAAGAUUGUGAUUGGAUGCACCCAAAAGGGAACUGUGAAUGAUUGGUUAAAGUUAGAUAUGGUGCCAUGUCUGAAAUGUAUAUAAAGAGCAUUGUAACCGACGGUGCUUUGCUGCAAGCUACAUCUCCAUGUAGUGUGUAUCCCUGGGACCAGUUCGGGUUAUUUUCUGUCUUGCUGAUAAACCUUCUUCAUCCGAAUCCAGUCUUCGUGAGGUCUGCUGUGUUAUUUCUCCUAAGAAGAAGUCAGGGUACACUCUCCCACACACAGAGGAAGCCACACUAAAGUUAGGCAUUACAUGAAGUGCUACAACACACACGCACACACAGGAUCAAAUAUAAGGAAUAGAUGUUUAUCAUAAAUAAUGAUAAGAAGAAGACAAUAGCAAUGAUUGCAGAAAACAAGUCAAAUGUAUGCACUCACCCAUAGUGAACAGGAACGGGAGAUUGAAGAAAAAAGUCAAGGUCUUCACGCGUUGAUGACCAAAAUGUUCAUGCCUUAGGGAGCCGAUGAGGUUUUUAUAACAGGGAAAAUGAAAACAGCCGAACAUAAGGGAACGGGGGAAAAACUUAAAAGAGAAACGUAACGGGCAUGAGAAAAAAACUGAAACAUAAACAUAUUGCGCUGGGAAAAACAGCAGCGCCUCCGGGCCCAUUUAGUUGCCGAAUGGGGGGGGGGGUUACUUUAUAUGUGAACAUCAUUUACAGUAUUGUGCAAAAGUUUUAGGCACCCUACUUUUUUUUUUUUAGCACAAACUUUGUUAUGGAUUUUUUUAUCUUAUGACUUCUACAUUAUCGAGUCAGUACAAAAACAUUUGAGAUUUCCAAACAUUAGUUUUCCAGCACAAAAUGAAAUGUUAGUAAAUGGUCUGCGCUUAUAUAGCGCUCUUUUUUAACCUUAGCAGUUCCAAAGCGCUUUACACUGGUUCUCAUGUACCCAUUCACACACCAAUGGUAGCAGAUGUGCCAUGCAAGGCGCUAGCUUCAGCGUCUUGCCCAAGGACACUUCGGCAUGUGGAGUCGUGUGGGGUGGGAAUCGAACCGCCAACCCUACGGUUAGCAGGUUGAAUAGCGGACCCUACGGUUAGCAAGUUGAUUAGCGGAGCCUACGGUUAGCAGGUUGAUUAGCAGAGCCUACGGUUAGCAGGUUGAUUAGCGGACCCUACGGUUAGCAGGUUGAUCAGCGGAGUCUACGGUUAGCAGGUUGAUCAGCGGAGUCUACGGUUAGCAGGUUGAUUGACCCGCUCUACCACCUGAGCCACAGCCACCCUAUGUUACCGAAAAAUGUUUUUAUGUAAGUAAUGAAAGCAGUAUAUUACAUAAGAGACCACUUUUCAGACAAAAACACAAUGAAGGCUGCUGGGUUUUGCUGCAAAAAUAAGAAGCGAGUGCGACAGUCAAAGUCUCCAGAAGAACCGUGUCUGGAUCUGCAAAAUGCUCAAUAAAACUUAACAGCUUAUUUCCUUAUAAAACUACACAAACUGUACCAGACUAUUUCAUUUUUUUCAUUUACUACUGUUUACGGUAUUUUUUUAAAAUGUAGAAACAUUUAAUUUCAAAGCAUUGUCAAAACAUUUAAAGGCAUCUUUGCAGCAUUCCUUUGCAUGUACCUAAAACUUUUGCACAGUACUGUAAGCUUUUAACAUGUUGGAUGUGGGAACACUCAUUACUACUUAAUGUACAAUCUGUAUUUUUAGAGAAUGUCCAUAUUAUUGUCUGCCUCUUUUGUUGUAGGAACUUAUGUUAAUCAGCCUUAUCCUCUAUGCUGCGUGUUUAUGAAGUGAUCGUGACCCAGAUGCCAUGGCAAAAAGAUACAUUAACAUCAUACACAGAGUAUCCACUACAUUAUACAUUGCAUUGCUGAGGAUUGUCAAAAGAGACCCAGAGAUAGUAGCAGUAGUAGAAAUAGCAUAACAUACAUUAGAUAUUAGUAUAUAAUUUUAUAUAAGUUUAUAUUCAAGAAAACUUCCAUUGUUUUGAACAUAAUUAUAAAUAAGGAUCCUGUGGGAGUGAAUCUCUGACACAAUGCACACACGAGGGAAAUAGGAAAAAGUUUUGAUCAAUGUUUAAGGGGGAAAAUGGGCAUAAGAACUAAUAUCGAUUAAUAAGACAGGGCUGGUAGGAAAAUAAUCUGUGGGAGUAUCGGGGGUGUAGUCAGGAGGAUCAGUAGAACUGUCAGUCUGCGUCGCUGGACUAUUAGGCAUGGAAAUGUCAUCAGAUAGGCCUUCAAUGGAAGACAUAGCAGUAUAAUUGGCAGUCUCAGUCUGAGUAGAUUCCACAGUAUCAGCUGGUACAAUGUGAUAAAAUAACGGCGGGGGAAAGUCCAGAGGAAUAGAAGAACAAAUUAAUCUUUCAAAAAGAGCCAUUAGGUCCACUGAUAGAUGGGCUCACUGAUGACUUAAAUACUGGUCUAGGCCUGUAAAAUUGAGCAAAUGCUGGAAAGGAGAAGGAGGGCGCUGGCCAGAAAAAGAACGAGAGAGGCAUCAGUGCACUAUAUAUGUGAGAUGAUAAGUCAUUAUUUUAUGUUAAUACAUUAACAUAACGUGACACAAUAGCAUAACCAUCACGCAUGCAUAAUACGUUUAAAAAGCAUUAUGAUACUCGUGCUCAAUAUACUUA